rnacentral:rRNA from 1 species
ACCCCGCUGAACUUAAGCAUAUCAAUAAGCGGAGGAAAAGAAACUAACAAGGAUUCCCCUAGUAACUGCGAGUGAAGCGGGAAAAGCUCAAAUUUAAAAUCUGGUGGCCUCUGGUCAUCCGAGUUGUAAUUUAGAGAAGCGUCUUCCGCGCUGGACCAUGCACAAGUCUCCUGGAAUGGAGCGUCAUAGAGGGUGAGAAUCCCGUCUUUGGCAUGGAUGCACCAGGGCUUCUGUGAUGCGCUCUCAAAGAGUCGAGUUGUUUGGGAAUGCAGCUCAAAAUGGGUGGUGAACUCCAUCUAAAGCUAAAUAUUGGCGAGAGACCGAUAGCGAACAAGUACCGUGAGGGAAAGAUGAAAAGCACUUUGGAAAGAGAGUGAAACAGUACGUGAAAUUGUUGAAAGGGAAACGCUUGAAGUCAGUCGCGUCGACCGAGACUCAGCCUCGCCUUGGCUUGGUGUACUUCUCGGCUGACGGGUCAGUGUCAAUUUUGGGCCUCGGAUAAUGACAAGGGAAAGGUGGCACCUUUAUAGGUGUGUUAUAGUCUCCUGUCGGAUGCGAGGGUCGGGAUUGAGGAACUCAGCACGCGCCUUUUGGUGUCGGGGCUUCGGCCUACGCUACGUGCUUUAGGAUGCUGGCAUAAUGGCUUUAAACGACCCGUCUUGAAACAACGGACC